rnacentral:lncRNA from 1 species
GCUCGAGUAUGGUAUAAACAUGUUUGGUCUUGUUUGUCCAGGUUUAGCGGCCGCCCCUAAAUCCUAAACUAUCAAAUGAUAGUAGUCAAGAUAAUUUGCGAAAGAGUCCGAUUUGUGAUUGCUAAUGAGGCGUCCUCUAAACAUCUCUGAUGAUCAGAGAAUGUCAUUAAAAUUACCCCUUAUGAGCCAACAACCCUUAUAAAGAUCAUGCAUGGACAUCAAGUUAUUACACAGAAUAUCACAAAUUUACAUAAAGCUUUAGCAUAAAUAGCGGAAAACAACUACUUAGAAGGGUUUGCCCGUACCUGAACCAUAUAUUGUAUUUCAUAUUCAGACAUUCGAAGCUCCUCUAUUUUGAUUAAAAUAUUAUUUCAUAAAACAAUUAACCCGCUUGAAAGGCCAUUGGCUGGAACUUGAGAUAGAUUGGUGAACUGAAAAUCAUCUCUAAGUAUAGUGUGAUCCUGCAUGUGAGUUUCUAGAAGGACAACCAAAACAUGCCUAUAAUUAUCAAGUAAAGAGCUGAACUGAUGCCUAAACUCCGCAUUAUGUUAUAAUCUGAAAUUCUAAAUGAUUAUAUUCAUAAUUGAUAGAUUGGGUUAGUCCGCAACAAGCAUAUUAAGAACUGGAAGAUGGUCCACUCCUUGGACUUCCUAGUGCAGAGCAAAAUGAGGGGUUGUUCCGCAAAGCGUCAAAAUUAUAACCAUGGCAUACUUCUUUGCUUUGCGAUUGCUAUUGGAUGAAUUUUUUUGCAUACUAUUCUUUGAGAAUGUACAUAUAGAUACCUUUUAACGAAAGAAACUCGUUCCUUGUUUUCCUUAUUUUUGCCAUUAUCUCUGCUACCUCUCGACGUGUUUCCUUGUGGAGUGUUUUGGAGGUAAAGUGCAUGGUGGACUCUGUGUGGGGGUUAGGGAUUGUAAGAGCUGGUCAGGUACGGUAAAGAUAUGGCAUGGUUGAAGGCGUUGAUUUUUCUGGAAC